rnacentral:rRNA from 1 species
UAUUAUUUUAAGUGUUAAUUUUGCUUACCAGGGUACUGUUAGUUAUGUUCUUUAAACUCAAAGAAUUUGGCGGUAUCUCAUUCCAUUCAGAGGAACCUAUCCCGUAAUUGAUAGUACACGAUUGACUUUACUUAAUUUAUUUGUUUGUAUAUCUCCGUUAUCAGAAAAUCUUUUUAGAGUUAUAAUUUUCUUGAUUUAUAAUUAUAAAAUAUUUCAGGUCAAGGUACAGCUUAUAAUUAAGAGUAGGUGGGUUACAAUAAAUUUAUAUUUAUUACGAAUUUGAUGGUGAAAAACUUUUAAUGAAGGUGGAUUUGAUAGUAAUUUAAUUUAGUUAAUUUAAUUGAUAUUGGCUCUGAGGUGUGUACACAUCGCCCGUCACUCUCAUUAUUGAUCAUUAUACUUAAAAAUUUUUGUUAAGGUAUGUUCAAAUUAAAUGAG